AUUGAACGCUGGCGGCAUGCCUUACACAUGCAAGUCGAACGGCAGCACGGGAGCAAUCCUGGUGGCGAGUGGCGAACGGGUGAGUAAAGUAUCGGAACGUGCCCAGUCGUGGGGGAUAACGUAGCGACAGUUACGCUAAUACCGCAUACGAUCUAUGGAUGAAAGCGGGGGAUCGCAAGACCUCGCGCGAAUGGAGCGGCCGAUAUCAGAUUAGGUAGUUGGUGGGGUAAAGGCCCACCAAGCCGACGAUCUGCAGCUGGUCUGAGAGGACGAUCAGCCACACUGGGACUGAGACACGGCCCAGACUCCUACGGGAGGCAGCAGUGGGGAAUUUUGGACAAUGGGCGAAAGCCUGAUCCAGCCAUGCCGCGUGCAGGAUGAAGGCCUUCGGGUUGUAAACUGCUUUUGUACGGAACGAAAAGGACUGCCCUAAUACGGUGGUCCCAUGACGGUACCGUAAGAAUAAGCACCGGCUAACUACGCGCCAGCCGCCGCCGUAACAC
rnacentral:rRNA from 1 species